rnacentral:rRNA from 1 species
UACAGAGGUGGCAAGCGUUGUUCGGAAUUACUGGGCGUAAAGGGCGCGUAGGCGGCCAUCUAAGUCAGACGUGAAAUCCCCCGGCUUAACCUGGGAACUGCGUCUGAUACUGGACGGCUCGAGUUUGGGAGAGGGAUGCAGAAUUCCAGGUGUAGCGGUGAAAUGCGUAGAUAUCUGGAGGAAUACCGGUGGCGAAGGCGGCAUCCUGGACCGACAUUGACGCUGAGGAGCGAAAGCUAGGGGAGCAAACGGG